rnacentral:rRNA from 1 species
UGGGGAAUUUUGGACAAUGGGCGAAAGCCUGAUCCAGCAAUGCCGCGUGUGUGAAGAAGGCCUUCGGGUUGUAAAGCACUUUUGUCCGGAAAGAAAUCCUUGGCUCUAAUACAGUCGGGGGAUGACGGUACCGGAAGAAUAAGCACCGGCUAACUACGUGCCAGCAGCCGCGGUAAUACGUAGGGUGCAAGCGUUAAUCGGAAUUACUGGGCGUAAAGCGUGCGCAGGCGGUUUGCUAAGACCGAUGUGAAAUCCCCGGGCUCAACCUGGGAACUGCAUUGGUGACUGGCAGGCUAGAGUAUGGCAGAGGGGGGUAGAAUUCCACGUGUAGCAGUGAAAUGCGUAGAGAUGUGGAGGAAUACCGAUGGCGAAGGCAGCCCCCUGGGCCAAUACUGACGCUCAUGCACGAAAGCGUGGGGAGCAAACAGGAUUCAGAUACCCUGGUAGUCCACGCCCUAAACGAUGUCAACUAGUUGUUGGGGACUUCAUUUCCUUAGUAACGUAGCUAACGCGUGAAGUUGACCGCCUGGGGAGUACGGUCG